rnacentral:rRNA from 1 species
GACGAACGCUGGCGGCGUGCUUAACACAUGCAAGUCGAACGGAAAGGCCCUGCUUUUGUGGGGUGCUCUAGUUGCGAACUGGUGAGUAACACGUUAGUAACCUGCCAUUGACGUUGGGAUAACUUCAGGAAACUUGGGCUAAUACCGGAUAGGAGCUCCUGCUGCAUGGUGGGGGUUGGAAAGUUUCGGCGGUUGGGGAUGGACUCGCGGCUUAUCGGCUUGUUGGUGGGGUGGUGGCUUACCAAGGCUUUGACGGGUAGCCGGCCUGAGCGGGUGACCGGACACAUUGGGACUGAGAUACGGCACAGACCACUACGGGAGGCAGCAGUGGGGAGUAUUGCACAAUGGGCGGAAGCCUAAUGUAGCAACGCCGCGUGGGGGAAGACGGCCUUCGGGUUGUAAUCCGCAUUUGCCUGUGCCGAAGAGUGAGUGACGGUAAUGGGUAAAGAAGCCCCGGCUAACUACGUG